AUGCAAGUCGUACGAGAGUUUUUAACUCAAGUGGCGGACGGGUGAGUAACACGUGAGAAUUUGCCUUUAGGAGGGGGAUAACAGAGUGAAAACGCUGCUAAUACCCCAUAUGCUUUCGAGUGAAAUGGAUUUAUUCGCCUAAAGAGAAGCUCGCGGCUGAUUAGCUUGUUGGUAAGGUAAUGGCUUACCAAGGCGACGAUCAGUAUCUGGUUUGAGAGGACGAUCAGACACACUGGAACUGAGACACGGUCCAGACUCCUACGGGAGGCAGCAGUGGGGAAUUUUCCGCAAUGGGCGAAAGUCUGACGGAGCAAUACCGCGUGAGGGAAGACGGCCUAUGGGUUGUAAACCUCUUUUCUCAGGGAGGAAAUCAAUGACGUUACCUGAGGAAUAAGCAUCGGCUAACUCCGUGCCAGCAGCCGCGGUAAGACGGAGGAUGCAAGUGUUAUCCGGAAUCACUGGGCGUAAAGCGUCUGUAGGUGGCUUAACAAGUCAACUGUUAAAUCUUGAAGCUCAACUUCGAAAUCGCAGUCGAAACUGUUAGGCUAGAGUAUAGUAGGGGUAAAGGGAAUUUCCAGUGGAGCGGUGAAAUGCGUAGAGAUUGGAAAGAACACCGAUGGCGAAGGCACUUUACUGGGCUAUCACUGACACUCAGAGACGAAAGCUAGGGUAGCAAAUGGGAUUAGAUACCCCAGUAGUCCUAGCCGUAAACAAUGGAUACUAGAUGUGGGCAGAUCGACCUGUUCAGUAUUAAAGCUAACGCGUUAAGUAUCCCGCCUGGGAAGUAUGCGCGCAAGCGUGAAACUCAAAGGAAUUGACGGGGCCGCACAAGCGGUGGAGCAUGUGGUUAUCGAUGAUACCCGUAGACUACUGGACUGAAUAUAAGGUCAGCUUAGAGAUUAGUGUGCAUACGCCUAUACAGUGUGCAUGCUGUCGUCAGCUC
rnacentral:rRNA from 1 species